ensembl:lncRNA
GCGCCUUCUCUGGCGCGCACACUGCUGCCUGGCACUCGUGGCGAAGACUCGGUGUGGCGUCUGUUAGUUGUUGGUUUGUUGUCGGUUGGUGUGGCGUGCUUCAGUCACUUGAAGCGUUGUUGGCCGUGUUGUUCGGGGGCGGCAUUGUGAAGAGUGAGGGGAGUGUGGCAUCCGCUCUGUACUGUUGCCGCAGCCGGUGAUCAGUUUCGGGGGGCGUAAAGCUCUCUUCGUUCGGCUGCCCUGCACGGCUCUGUGACGUAGCCUACACCUGGCGAUCCAAAACGUAAACCAUCCACGGCCUCCGGUCCUGGGGCGGCCGCUCUGUCUUCGCCAGCCACUCCGUCUUCUCCAUCCACUCCGUCGUCUUCAUCAUCUUCGGCUGCUCCGGACAGGAGCUGGUGUAGCGGGCGGCAGGCUUGGUUUGUAGUGGUUCUUUUGUGGUUUUGAGUUGAUUUAGUCUGACCGCCUCGCUACAGCCUAGCUCUGUGCCUGUUGUAUUUAUUUCUACUUUGGGGUUUUGAUUCUGCUUACUGUAAAUAAAUAAAAUUAUAUCUUUUGUAAGUCCGUCUCUCGCCCUUUAUACAAAACGUGCAACGAAUCUGUGUGACCUCUGGUUGGCCAAAGUACAGGGCCAAGGUUGUAUUUCCUGGGGUGUAAUUCCCCAGGUGGCGUUGUCGAGCAACUUUCCCCCCCCUUCUCUCCAUUCCGCCACACCAGUCUGAAAAAUGUUUUGGACACAACAGUGAAAAUGGUGAAUUUUGUGAAGGCCAGGCCCCUGAACUCUCGCAUUUUUUCUGCAUUAUGCAGUGAAAUGGGC